rnacentral:rRNA from 1 species
AGAGUUUGAUCAUGGCUCAGGACGAACGCUGGCGGCGUGCCUAACACAUGCAAGUCGAACGGACGAGGCCCCUUCGGGGACCGAGUUAGUGGCGGACGGGUGAGUAACGCGUGAGCAACCUGCCUUUCAGUGGGGGACAACAGUUGGAAACGACUGCUAAUACCGCAUAAAGCUAACCGGAGGCAUCUCUGGGGAGCCAAAGAUUUAUUGCUGAAAGAUGGGCUCGCGUCUGAUUAGCUAGUUGGCGGGGUAAGGGCCCACCAAGGCGACGAUCAGUAGCCGGACUGAGAGGUUGAACGGCCACAUUGGGACUGAGAUACGGCCCAGACUCCUACGGGAGGCAGCAGUGGGGAAUAUUGGGCAAUGGGGGAAACCCUGACCCAGCAACGCCGCGUGAAGGAAGAAGGCCUUCGGGUUGUAAACUUCUUUUACCAGGGACGAAGGACGUGACGGUACCUGGAGAAAAAGCCACGGCUAACUACGUGCCAGCAGCCGCGGUAAUACGUAGGUGGCAAGCGUUGUCCGG